rnacentral:piRNA from 1 species
UAAACUAUGGAAUGGCAAAAGUGUGCUGCC